rnacentral:lncRNA from 1 species
AAUAAUAUAGAUAGUUAGCAUAUAGUAAGAGAGGUUUCUUGAUUGGUUAGCCCUAAAUCUUCUGAGCUCAUAAAGUGUAGUUGAAGAUUUCAUAAGUUUAGAAGCUAACCUCUCCUCCCCUAAACUUCGAUUGCAUAAAUAAACAUGCUGGCCCCUCUUUUUACGACUACACAGACAAUUCUUAAGUAACUCUAGCUUUCAACCGUUCGAAAAUAACUUUCUCUCAAAGUUAUUCACUAUUUUUCCCUCAAAUUGCACCCCCCAUAAUGCUCCCACAUCUCAAAUAAGGAAAAGAAAGCAUAGGAAGUGUCCCAUUAUUAUAAAUGCAUUGCAAUUGAGAUGCAGUGAUUGCACCAGCUGAGCGAUGAUGGUAAUGAAGCUCAUUGGAAUUAGAAGCCCACCUUGUAAAUAUGGUAACCUGAAUUAAAUUAAAUCCAUGCAGACUUGGAAGUUGAUAGAUGAAAAAGGAAGUUAGAGUAAUUAAAAGUAUGAAAAGAUAGAUAUAGAAAAGUAUAUAAUGUUGAUUAAAAAGUAAGAGAGGAGAGAUUGAAAGUGUUAUCGUAUGUUAUAGGGCAUUGGAUGGAUGGUUGGGUAGAAGCAAUUAAGAGGAAAAGAUAGUGAAGAGAAGGGGCCCUGUAAUGGAAGAGCUCUUUUUGUGGGUGCAGCGCUUGAAGAGGAAAUAUGAGAGUGACGUGUGGGAGAGUGACAUGUGAAUUGGUGAUGGCAGGAGAUGGGAUGGGUUUUGUGAUGUCCUUUUGUGAUGGGACGAUUCCAUAAUUCCCAAACAAGGAAACAAAUCUAUCUUGUAAAUUCAGGCCCCUACCUUUCUAUGCUUGUAUAAAUAAAUGCACACCACUUUCCCUACCUAGCUCUCUUACCUUUUCUCAUUCACCCACCUAGCCCCUCUCUCUUUUCUCUAGUCCGAUGAAUAUCAAUGCCUGCCACAUAAAUUCAUUUUCAACUAUUCAUCUCUUUCACAUCAUCUUCCUACGUUUAGUUCUGUUCAUUAACUUAUUUGUACACAAUCAUUUGAUCUAUUGUUACCCAAACUUGUUUUCCAUAUCGGGAAAUUCGGACAACACAUCUUCUCCGCUUUCUCUUCUCUCCCUCUUCAUCCACAAACACAUGCCCCAAACUAAGGGCUACCUACGCAUCAUCAAAUCAUCUUACUGCAUCUUCUGUCUAAACCUGCAUAAUCUCCUGUCAAGGGUUUUUUCUCAUCAACUUCAUCUUUAUUAAACUUUUUUCAAUCAAAUGCUUUUAGUAAAACUGCUUUUCUUAAUCAAACCAAAACUUUUUUUUAUUUUUUAUUUUGUAAUAUUUGUCCAAGCACCACAAUUCAAUUCUGACUUGACAUUGCUAACCACUGACUAUCAACAAUUGGUCUCAUCUGCACCCUUAUCUCUAACUAUACAAGCUUUUUUUUUAAUAUGAAAUUGUCCGUAUGUUGUUUAUCAUUUCCCUGUUUUGAAUAAUAUACAAUGUCAUAUUUCUAUAUGCUUGUAUAGGGAA